CUUUUUAGCGAGUUUCAGAAAUGCUGUCCUGAUUGUCUCUCUCAAAAGAUAUUGGACAGACUCAGUGCAUAGAAGCUCCCACGCAAGGUGGGGUCUGGGGAGGGAUUAUAGGAACCUAGUCUUACUCUCAAAAGAUAUUGCAGCUAGUAAAAUAUCCGUUGAGCGCAUAUCAAGUAUGAACAAGGUACCCUUCCAUUCUGGAAGAGAAGUAGUCAUAAUGCAAAAAUAUACUAUUAGCUUUGCUCAAGACUAAAUUGCUCAUAACUAUCUCAGAAGGGGUUAGAAAGUGCGAACCAUAUCAAGCCAUGUGUUACAUGAAAAAUAUAUUGACAACCAGUUGAUGACUGAAAACAACUCAAUCAUAAUUCAGGUUGGAAGCUAUCAACAAAUAUGAACUAGCCAUCAAAUUAUUAUAACAGAACCAUUGAAAACGUACAAGUGUUAAACGUGACAAUGCAAUGCUGAAUAUAUCCAUACACUAUCUUUGUGUUCUCCUUCUGUAAUUUUAUUGAUUUGUGUUCACUUCUUUUUAGCGAGUUUCAGAAAUGGUGUCCUGAUUGUCUCUCUCAAAAGAUAUUGCAGCUAGUAAAAUAUCCAUGAACGCAUAUCAAGUAUGAACAAGGUACCCUUCCAUUCUGGAAGAGAAGUAGUCAUAAUG
rnacentral:lncRNA from 1 species